GAUGAACGCUGGCGGCGUGCUUAACACAUGCAAGUCGAACGAAGCACUUAAGAUUGAUUCUUCGGAUGACGUCUUUUGUGACUUAGUGGCGGACGGGUGAGUAACGCGUGGGUAACCUGCCUCACACAGGGGGAUAACAGUUAGAAAUGACUGCUAAUACCGCAUAACCCGAUAGGAUCGCAUGAUCCAGACGGAAAAGAUUUAUCGGUGUGAGAUGGACCCGCGUCUGAUUAGCUAGUUGGUGAGGUAACGGCCCACCAAGGCGACGAUCAGUAGCCGGCCUGAGAGGGUGAACGGCCACAUUGGGACUGAGACACGGCCCAAACUCCUACGGGAGGCAGCAGUGGGGAAUAUUGCACAAUGGGGGAAUCCCUGAUGCAGCGACGCCGCGUGAGUGAAGAAGUAUUUCGGUAUGUAAAGCUCUAUCAGCAGGGAAGAAAAUGACGGUACCUGACUAAGAAGCCCCGGCUAACUACGUG
rnacentral:rRNA from 1 species